rnacentral:rRNA from 1 species
GACGAACGCUGGCGGCGUGCUUAACACAUGCAAGUCGAACGGAAAGGCCCUGCUUUUGUGGGGUGCUCGAGUGGCGAACGGGUGAGUAACACGUGAGUAACCUGCCCCUGACUUUGGGAUAACUUCAGGAAACUGGGGCUAAUACCGGAUAGGAGCUCCUGCUGCAUGGUGGGGGUUGGAAAGUUUCGGUGGUUGGGGAUGGACUCGCGGCUUAUCAGCUUGUUGGUGGGGUAGUGGCUUACAAAGGCUUCGACGGGUAGCCGGCCUGAGAGGGUGACCGGCCACAUUGGGACUGAGAUACGCCCCAGACUCCUACGGGAGGCAGCAGUGGGGAAUAUUGCACAAUGGGCGGAAGCCUGAUGCAGCGACGCCGCGUGCGGGAUGACGGCCUUCGAGUUGUAAACCGCUUUCGCCUGUGACGAAGCGUGAGUGACGGUAAUGGGUAAAGAAGCACCGGCUAACUACGUG